CUAGGGUAAGGGCCCUAUGGGCUAUGGGCUAGGGUAAGGGCCCUAUGGGCUAUGGGUAAGGGCCCUAUGGGCUAUGGGCUAGGGCCCUAUGGGCUAUGGUAAGGGCCCGUUGGGCUAUGGGUUAGGGCCCUAUGGGCUAUGGUAAGGGCCCGUUGGGCUAUGGGUUAGGGCCCUAUGGGCUAGGGUAAGGGCCCCAUGGGCUAUGGGCUAGGGCCCUAUGGGCUAGGGUAAGGGCCCUAUGGGCUAUGGGUUAGGGCCCUAUGGGCUAGGGUAAGGGCCCUAUGGGCUAUGGGUUAGGGCCCUAUGGGCUAGGGUAAGGGCCCUAUGGGCUAUGGUAAGGGCCCUAUGGGCUAGGGUAAGGGCCCUAUGGGCUAGGGUAAGGGCCCUAUGGGCUAUGGGUUAGGGCCCUAUGGGCUAGGGUAAGGGCCCUAUGGGCUAGGGUAAGGGCCCUAUGGGCUAUGGGUUAGGGCCCUAUGGGCUAGGGUAAGGGCCCUAUGGGCUAUGGGUUAGGGCCCUAUGGGCUAGGGCAGUGCACUACGGAGGGAAUUUGGGUUUGAUUAACCUUAUGUGUUUGUUACAUACAUCAUCAACAGAACGCAACAAGAUAAUGCAUUAACAGACUGUACCGCCAAGAUAAUGCAUUAACAGACUGUACCGCCAAGAUAAUGCAUUAACAGACUGUACCGCCAAGAUAAUGCAUUAACAGACUGUACCGACAAGAUAAUGCAUUAACAGACUGUACCGACAAGAUAAUGCAUUAACAGACUGUACCGACAAGAUAAUGCAUUAACAGACUGUACCGACAAGAUAAUGCAUUAACAGACUGUACCGACAAGAUAAUGCAUUAACAGAACGUAACAACAAGAUAAAGACAACGUCCUGAAGACAUCGUCCUGAAGACAACGUCCUGAAGAAGACAACGUCCUGAAGAUGACAACGUCCUGAAGAAGACAACGUCCUGAAGAAGACAACAUCCUGAAGACGACGUCCUGAAGACAACGUCCUGAAGACAUCGUCCUGAAGAAGACAACAUCCUGAAGACAACGUCCUGAAGAAGACAACGUCCUGAAGAAGACAACGUCCUGAAGAAGACAACGUCCUGAAGAAGACAACGUCCUGAAGAAGACAUCGUCCUGAAGACAUCGUCCUGAAGACAUCGUCCUGAAGAAGACAACGUCCUGAAGACAACGUCCUGAAGACAACGUCCUGAAGACAUCGUCCUGAAGAAGACAACGUCCUGAAGAAGACAACGUCCUGAAGACAACGUCCUGAAGACAACAUCCUGAAGACAACGUCCUGAAGACAACGUCCUGAAGAAGACAACGUCCUGAAGACAACGUCCUGAAGACAACGUCCUGAAGACAUCGUCCUGAAGAAGACAACAUCCUGAAGAAGACAACAUCCUGAAGACGACGUCCUGAAGAAGACAACGUCCUGAAGACAACGUCCUGAAGAAGACAACGUCCUGAAGAAGACAACGUCCUGAAGAAGACAACGUCCUGAAGACAACGUCCUGAAGACAACGUCCUGAAGAAGACAACGUCCUGAAGACAACGUCCUGAAGACAACGUCCUGAAGACAACGUCCUGAAGACAUUGGCCGAGUCUCAAAUGGCACCCUAUUCCCUACAUAGUGCACUAUUUUGUGGACGAAGUCAUUAAGUAGUAAAUCAUGGAAAAGAAAGACCAGAACAGACCAUUAAAGGACCAGUACAGACCAGUACAGACCAUUAAAGGACCAGUACAGACCAGUACAGACCAGUACAGACCAUUAAAGGACCAGUACAGACCAU
rnacentral:lncRNA from 1 species